rnacentral:SRP_RNA from 1 species
GCCGGGUGUGGUGGCUCAUGCCUGUAAUCCCAGAACUUUGGGAGGCCGAGGUGGGUGGAUCACUUGAGGUCAGGAGUUUGAGACCAGCCUGGCCAACAUAGUGAAACCCCAUCUCUA